rnacentral:misc_RNA from 1 species
AACGCAUAUUGCACUCGAGCUACGGCGAGAGUAUGUCUGUCUCAGCGUCAGCACACCCCAUCGCUCUCCUCCCUCCUCCCGAGAGGGAAAAGAGAGCGGAAGUGGCCGUCUCGGUUUCUCCUUUUCUCACGAAAGAGAAACCGGGUCGGCUGAAGCACAGGGCCCAGCGCGGCCGGGCGCUCUUCACUGUCAAAGGCGCCAGCUUGGUAGGUGGCUCUCCGCAGCCGCAUGCCGCUGUCGCCCUUUCGGCUGGGGUCGAGCAGAGCCUGUGUCCGUCGCGUCGGUCACAAGCCACCAGAACGACCAGUACCUUGACCUGAGGUCAGACAAGACCACCCGCUGAACUUAA